GUGCUGCUGAAGAGUCCCAGAUUAGGACGGAACAGCUAGCUGUCCAGUAC
rnacentral:hammerhead_ribozyme from 1 species